rnacentral:rRNA from 1 species
AUUGAACGCUGGCGGCAGGCCUAACACAUGCAAGUCGAACGAGUGGCGGACGGGUGAGUAAUGUCUGGGAAACUGCCUGAUGGCGGGGGAUAACUACUCGAAACGGUCGCUAAUACCGCAUACCAUCAGAUGUGCCCAUAUGGGAUUAGCUAGUUGGUGGGGUAACGGCUCACCAAGGCGACGAUCCCUAGCUGGUCUGAGAGGAUGACCAGCCACACUGGAACUGAGACACGGCCCAGACUCCUGCGGGAGGCAGCAGUGGGGAAUAUUGCACAAUGGGCGCAACCCUGAUGCAGCCAUGCCGCGUGUAUGAAGAAGGCCUUCGGGUUGUAAAGUACUUUCAGCGGGGAGGCGUUACCCGCAGAAUAAGCACCGGCUAACUACGUGCCAGCAGCCGCGGUAAUAC